rnacentral:rRNA from 1 species
GUAAGGGCGGACGGUGGAUCCCUCGGCAGCCGGAGGCGAUGAAGGGCGUGGCCAGCUGCGAUAAGCCCCGGGGAGCCGCUGAGCAGGCGAUGAUCCGGGGAUUCCCGAAUGGGGAAACCCACCGUACCGUUGAGGUACGGUAUCCGCCGCUGAAACACAAGUAGGCGGCGGAGGCGAACCCCGCGAAGGGAAACAUCCCAGUAGCGGGAGGAAAAGAAAUCAACACCCGUUCCCUUCGGGGAGCGGGCGCGUCCCCCAAAAGGGGGCGUGGAGAUUCCCCUAGUAGCGGCGAGCGAACGGGGAACAGCCCAAACCUCACGGGUGUCAAAGCCCGCAGGCGUUGCCCGUGGGGGGUUGCGGGACGGCAACGGGGAGGGCUGCGGACCUCCCAGGGAGUUACAAAAGCCUUCUCUAGCCGAACGGCCUGCAAAGUCACUGGAAAGGGCGGCCGGAGAGGGUGAAAGCCCCGUAGGCGAAAGGGAAGGCUCUCCCGGGUUGCCGCUCCCAAGUAGCGUCGGACACGUGAAAUCCGGCGCGAAUCUGGGGGGCCCACCCUCCAAGGCUAAAUACUCCCGGCUGACCGAUAGCGCACCAGUACCGUGAGGGAAAGGUGAAAAGAACCCCGGGAGGGGAGUGAAAUAGAACGUGAAACCGUCCGCUCACAGGCAGUAGGAGCCUGGAGGCCUUGGCCCUUCGGGGCCCUGGCCAAAGGGUGACUGCAUGCCUUUUGCAGUAUGAGCCGGCGAGUUAUGGUCCGUGGCGAGGCUAAGCGGGUCUCCCGCGGAGCCGCAGCGAAAGCGAGUCCGAACAGGGCGACGAGUCACGGGCCAUAGACCCGAAGCCAGGCGAUCUACCCAUGGGCAGGGUGAAGGCGGGGUAAGACCCGCCGGAGGCCCGAACCCAUUGGACGUGCAAUUCCAUGGGAUGACCUGUGGGUAGCGGUGAAAUGCCAAUCGAGCCUGGUGAUAGCUGGCUCUCCCCGAAAUGGCUCUAGGGUCAGCCUCACGGUUCAGGCGGCCGGGGGUAGAGCACUGGAUGGGGAAGGGGGGAAACUCCCGACUCCAACCAAACUCCGAAUACCGGCCGUCGGUCCGUGGGAGUGAGUCCGUGGGGGAUAACCUCCACGGUCGAGAGGGGAACAACCCAGACCGCCGGCUAAGGCCCCAAAAUCCGGGCUAAGUGGGGAAGGCGGUGUGGCCGCUAAAACAGCUGGGAGGUUGGCUUAGAAGCAGCCAUCCUUUAAAGAGUGCGUAACAGCUCACCAGUCUAGCGGCCGCGCGCCGAAAAUGUAACGGGGCUAAGCCCGGUGCCGAAGCCGCGGGCUUCCGCGAGGUUUUCCUCGCGGGAGCGGUAGGGGAGCGUUCCCAGCGGGGCGAAGCCGCGUCGCGAGGCGCGGUGGACUGCUGGGAAGUGAGAAUGCCGGCAUGAGUAGCGAGAGGCGGGUGAGAAUCCCGCCCCCCGGAUGCCCAAGGUUUCCUGGGGAAGGCUGAUCCGCCCAGGGUUAGGCGGGACCUAAGGUGAACCCGAAAGGGGUAGCCGAUGGGCAGCCGGUUAAUAUUCCGGCCCCUCCGGGUCCGCGCUACGAGCGAAGGGGUGACGCCGCAGGACUAUCCCCGCGGGCUUACGGCUAUGCCCGUCCAAGCGUCAAGCCAGGGGGAGGAGGCAAAUCCCCUCCCCCGCUACGGCGAGGCGUGAUGGCGAGCCGCUUAACGCGGCGAAGGGGGAUGGGUUCAGCGGCCGAGAAAAGCCUCUAGCCAGUGGGCCCGGAGCCCGUACCGCAAACCGACACAGGUGGGCGAGGGGAGUACCCACAGGGGGGCGAGAUAACCCCGGUCAAGGAACUCGGCAAAUUGCCCCCGUAACCUCGGGAGAAGGGGGGCCCUCGCCGUGGCCAGGGAUCCUCUUGGCUGCGGUUGGGGGCCGCAGAGAAUCGGCCCAGGCGACUGUUUACCAAAAACACAGGUCCCUGCUAACCCGUAAGGGGACGUAUAGGGGCUGAAACCUGGCCACUGCCGGUAGGUCAAGGGGAGGGGUGCAAGCCCCGAACCGAAGCCCCGGUGAAGGCCGGCCGUAACUAUAACGGUCCUAAGGUAGCGAAGUACCUUGUCGGGUAAGUUCCGACCUGCAUGAAAGGAACAACGACCUGGGCACUGUCUUGACCGGGGGCUCGGUGAACUUGAAGCGCCGGUGAAGAUGCCGGCGACCCGCGGUGGGACAGAAAGACCCCGUGGAGCUUUACUGCAGCCUGGUGUUGGGUCUUGGUCGUUGAUGUAGAGGAUAGGUGGGAGGCUGAGAAGCUCGGGCGCCAGCCCGGGUGGAGCCGCCGGUGGAAUACCACCCUUCAACGACUGAGGCUCUAACCAGGGGCCGUUAGCAGCGGUUCCGGGACAGCGCCAGGUGGGCAGUUUUGCUGGGGCGGCAGCCUCCUAAAGGGUAACGGAGGCGCCCAAAGGUCCCCUCAGGCGGGUUAGCGAUCCGCCGUGGAGUGCAAGGGCAGACAGGGGGCUUGACUGCGAGGCCUACAAGCCGAGCAGGGGCGAAAGCCGGGCCUAGUGACCCACCGGCUCCUCGUGGUAGGGCCGGUGAUCAGCGGAUAAAAGUUACCCCGGGGAUAACAGGCUGGUCCUGCCCGAGAGUUCACAUCGACGGCAGGGUUCGGCACCUCGAUGUCGGCUCACCCCAUCCUGGGGCUGCACCAGGUCCCAAGGGUUGGGCUGUUCGCCCAUCAAAGGGGUUCAUGAGCUGGGUUCAGACCGUCGUGAGACAGGUCGGUCCCUAUCUACCGCGGGCGCAGGAGGCUUGAGGGGGUCCGCUCCUAGUACGAGAGGACCGGAGCGGCCGGGCCGCUGGUGUACCAGCUGUCCCGCCCGGGGCACCGCUGGGUAGCUAAGCCCGGACCGGAUAAGAGCUGAAGGCAUCUAAGCUCGAAGCCGACCCCAAGAUGAGGCCUCCCCAUCAGGGCCCUCCGAGACCAGGAGGUCGAUAGGCCGCAGGUGGAAGCCCGGCAACGGGUGGAGCCGAGCGGUACUAAUAGCCCGAUCGCCUUACGU